rnacentral:rRNA from 1 species
ACUCAAAGGAAUAGACGGGGGCCCGCACAAGCAGUGGAGCAUGUGGUUUAAUUCGACGAUACGCGAAGAACCUUACCAGGGUUUGACAUCAAUAUGACGAUUGCAGAGAUGUAAUUUCACUUCGGUGCGUAUUGACAGGUGCUGCAUGGCUGUCGUCAGCUCGUGCCGUGAGGUGUUGGGUUAAGUCCCGCAACGAGCGCAACCCUUAUACUCAGUUGCCAUCAGUUAGGCUGGGCACUCUGUGUAGACUGCCAUCAUAAGAUGGAGGAAGGUGGGGAUGACGUCAAGUCAGCAUGGCCCUUACGUCCUGGGCUACACACGUGCUACAAUGGCCGGUACAGAGGGCAGCCAAGCCGCGAGGCGGAGCGAAUCCCAGAAAGCCGGUCUCAGUUCGGAUUGCAGGCUGCAACCCGCCUGCAUGAAGUCGGAAUUGCUAGUAACCGCAGAUCAGCUACGCUGCGGUGAAUACGUUCCCGGGCCUUGUACACACCGCCCGU